rnacentral:rRNA from 1 species
UACGAAGGUCCCAAGCGUUAUCCGGAUUUAUUGGGUUUAAAGGGUGCGUAGGCGGGCUAUUAAGUCAGUGGUGAAAUCCUGCAGCCUAACUGUAGAAUUGCCAUUGAUACUGAUGGUCUUGAGUACAUUUGAAGUGGGCGGAAUGUGUCAUGUAGCGGUGAAAUGCUUAGAUAUGACACAGAACACCGAUUGCGAAGGCAGCUCACUAAACUGUAACUGACGCUGAUGCACGAAAGCGCGGGGAGCAAACAGG